UGAACGCUGGCGGCGUGCCUAACACAUGCAAGUCGAACGGGAAGCCUUUGAUUUAUCAGAGGUGGAGAGUGGCGCACGGGUGAGUAACACGUAGCUGACCUGCCCCGGAGCGGGGGAUAACCACUGGAAACGGUGGCUAAUACCCCAUAAUUUCGCCCUGAUUAGAAGGGGGCGAGGAAAACGCGCACUUCGGUGCGAGGUGCUCUGGGAGGGGGCUGCGGUCCAUCAGCUAGUUGGUGAGGUAAAAGCUCACCAAGGCGAAGACGGAUAGGGGACCUGAGAGGGUGACCCCCCACACUGGGACUGAGACACGGCCCAGACUCCUACGGGAGGCAGCAGUGAGGAAUAUUGCGCAAUGGACGAAAGUCAGACGCAGCAACGCCGCGUGAGUGAAGAAGGCCUUCGGGUUGUAAAACUCUUUUCUGGGGGAAGAGGAAGGACGGUACCCCAGGAAUAAGUGUCGGCUAACUAC
rnacentral:rRNA from 1 species